UGAUUUAAAACCCAACUCUUUUUUUUUAAAUAUAAAAUUUUAAAAUAAAACUUUCAACAAUGGAUCUCUUGGCUCUCGCAUCGAUGAAGAACGCAGCGAAAUGCGAUAAGUAAUAUGAAUUGCAGAAUUCCGUGAAUCAUCAAAUUUUUGAACGCAAAUUGCACUUCUUGGUAUUCCGANGAGUACACAUG
rnacentral:rRNA from 1 species